UACGGAGGAGGCAAGCGUUAUCCGGAAUUAUUGGGCGUAAAGAGUCCGUAGGUGGCGAUUCAAGUCUGCUGUCAAAGCGUGGAGCUCAACUCCAUCAAGGCAGUGGAAACUGAAUGGCUAGAGUGCGGUAGGGGUAGCGGGAAUUCCCAGUGUAGCGGUGAAAUGCGUGGAGAUUGGGAAGAACAUCGGUGGCGAAAGCGCGCUACUGGGCCGGAACUGACACUGAGGGGCGAAAGCUAGGGGAGCGAAAGGG
rnacentral:rRNA from 1 species